rnacentral:rRNA from 1 species
GUGGGGAAUCUUCCGCAAUGGACGAAAGUCUGACGGAGCGACGCCGCGUGAGUGAUGAAGGCCCUUGGGUCGUAAAGCUCUGUCAUCAGGGACGAACGGUCACGUCAGGAAAUGGGCGUGAAUUGACGGUACCUGAGAAGGAAGCCACGGCUAACUACGUGCCAGCAGCCGCGGUAAUACGUAGGUGGCGAGCGUUGUCCGGAAUUAUUGGGCGUAAAGCGCGCGCAGGUGGGAUCUUAAGUCUGUUCUGAAAGUUCGGAGCUUAACUCCGUGAUGGGAUGGAAACUGGGAUUCUUGAGUAUCGGAGAGGAAAGCGGAAUUCCCCGUGUAGCGGUGAAAUGCGUAGAUAUGGGGAGGAACACCAGUGGCGAAGGCGGCUUUCUGGACGGUGUCUGACACUGAGGCGCGAAAGCCAGGGGAGCGAACGGGAUUAGAAACCCGUGUAGUCC